rnacentral:rRNA from 1 species
CCAGACUCCUACGGGAGGCAGCAGUGGGGAAUAUUGGGCAAUGGGCGCAAGCCUGACCCAGCAACGCCGCGUGAAGGAAGAAGGCUUUCGGGUUGUAAACUUCUUUUGUCAGGGACGAAGCAAGUGACGGUACCUGACGAAUAAGCCACGGCUAACUACGUGCCAGCAGCCGCGGUAAUACGUAGGUGGCAAGCGUUAUCCGGAUUUAUUGGGUGUAAAGGGCGUGUAGGCGGGAAUGCAAGUCAGAUGUGAAAUUCCAGGGCUAAACCCUGGACCUGCAUUGGAAACUGUAGACCUUGAGUGUUGGAGAGGAAGGCGGAAUCCCGUGUGUAGCGGGGAA